rnacentral:misc_RNA from 1 species
GCCUUGCUGAAUUAUUCACCCUUGUCUUUUGCGUACUUCUUGUUUCCUUGGUGGGUUCGCCCACCACUAGGACAAACAUAAACCUUUUGUAAUUGCAAUCAGCGUCAGUAACAAAUUAAUAAUUACAACUUUCAACAACGGAUCUCUUGGUUCUGGCAUCGAUGAAGAACGCAGCGAAAUGCGAUAAGUAGUGUGAAUUGCAGAAUUCAGUGAAUCAUCGAAUCUUUGAACGCACAUUGCGCCCUUUGGUAUUCCAAAGGGCAUGCCUGUUCGAGCGUCAUUUGUACCCUCAAGCUUUGCUUGGUGUUGGGCGUCUUGUCUCUAGCUUUGCUGGAGACUCGCCUUAAAGUAAUUGGCAGCCGGCCUACUGGUUUCGGAGCGCAGCACAAGUCGCACUCUCUAUCAGCAAAGGUCUAGCAUCCAUUAAGCCUUUUUUUCAACUU